GAUAAACGCUAGCGGCAGGCUUAACACAUGCAAGUCGAGGGGCAGCAUAGAAUGUAGCAAGACAAUUGGUGGCCACCGGCGCACGGGUGCGUAACGCGUAUGCAACCUACCCGUCACAGGGGGAAAAUCCGGAGAAAUCUGGUCUAAUACCCCAUAACAUAUGGAUCGGCAUCGGUUCAUGUUGAAAUUUUCGGAGGUGACGGAUGGGCAGGCGUAGCAUUAGCUUGUUGGUGCGGUAACGGCUCACCAAGGCGACGUUGCUUAGGGGGACUGAGAGGUUUUCCCCCCACACUGGUACUGAGACACGGACCAGACUCCUACGGGAGGCAGCAGUGAGGAAUAUUGGUCAAUGGGCGCAAGCCUGAACCAGCCAUGCCGCGUGCAGGAUGACGGCUCUAUGAGUUGUAAACUGCUUUUGUACGAGGGUAAAGUGGGUUACGUGCAACCUUUUGAAAGUAUCGUACGAAUAAGGAUCGGCUAACUCCGUGCCAGCCGCCGCGGUAA
rnacentral:rRNA from 1 species